CCUACGGGACGCAGCAGUGAGGAAUAUUGGUCAAUGGGCGAAAGUCUGAACCAGCCAUGCCGCGUGCAGGAAGACGGCUCUAUGAGUUGUAAACUGCUUUUGUACAAGGGUAAACCUGAAUACGUGUAUUCAGCUGAAAGUACUGUACGAAUAAGGAUCGGCUAACUCCGUGCCAGCAGCCGCGGAAAUACGGAGGAUCCAAGCGUUAUCCGGAUUUAUUGGGUUUAAAGGGUGCGUAGGCGGAUUGAUAGGUUAGAGGUGAAAUGUCAGGGCUCAACUCGGGAACUGCCUCUAAUACUGUUGAG
rnacentral:rRNA from 1 species